CUUUCUUGGCCGGCUCAUUCUUUCUUUCUUUUCAUUUUUUUUUUUUUUUUUGUUUUCUCUUGUACGCUCCUCUCUACUCUCAUCUUCUCCACCGGCACUUCCACACCACCACCACCAUUUUCCACCAUCAUUCUCCAGCAAGAUCACCGGAAAAUUGUUGUAAACCCAUAAACACCUUCAUGUCUUUUUUUUUGAGGUUUGCUUGAUGUUGUUGAGGUUCUACCUAAUCUCCUUUGGAGCUUGGAGAAUUAGGCUUUUGUGUUUGCGAGGUUAGUACCCUUUCACUUUGGAUGACACGUUCUUCCUUGCUAUCUGUGGGGGGGAAGAGGUUCCUUGAUUGUGUGUGGGUGAGGUUGCUGCCCAUGGGGCCAAGAAACCACAUACAAGAGGGGUCCUAUUUGACGCGCUUUCUCUACUGCCCAUGGGGAGAGAGAAAAAUCUUGAGUGUGUGGGUGAGGCUGCUAUCCAUGGGACCAAGAGUCUGCAUACCAGAGAGGACAAUAUCAUGCCAGUUGUGAAUGGGUGGAUCCCCUGACCGGUCUAUGUGGGAAUAUGGUAGGUUUGUGAUGAAAUGAUUGUAUGUUAGAUUUUAUGGCUUUAGAAAUUAUAUUGUUAGUGCUCACAGAUUAUAAUAUAUAGUUUCAUGGUAUUAUUUUGAGAAACUUUGUGUUUCAUUGUUCAAUCAUUCUUGUCAUUUCAUAUUAUUAUUGAAGAUGAACUUGCUUUUUUCCCACCCCCAUUAAUUAUGCUACUUACUGGGCUUUAGUUCAUCCCAAUCUUUCACAGUCUUACAAAUUAAUUAUAUAUCAUGAGAAUGGAGCUUGCCUUAUCAGUAGUGAUUGGAGUUUUAUGCUGAAUUGGGAGACUUAUAUUACUAAUGGUUGGUGAUUCGAUCUAGUUGUUUUUAAGGGUGCUUGUAGUAGUUAAUUUUAUUAGAAGUUGGGCUCUUGAGGCUUGUUAGCCCAAGAGUUUUGUUGGGAUUGCAUAUUUUAGAGAGCUUUGGGACUUUCUAUUUAAUGCAUCAGAGUUUUGUAAUAUAUUCAUGUAUUAUGUGGAGGCACAUGAUUUUUAGUUAUUGUUCGUAAAUGUGUUAUAGAGCUUUGACUUACUUUAAGAGUAUAUUCAACGAAAUUAUUAUGAUAA